UGUCGUUGUUAGAAGAGAAAUACACAAGAUAGCUACUCUAUUGCCACAUCAUCUACAUUUGUGUGGGUUUUACGAGAAAAAAAAGGCAUCGACUGGAUUAACCACCCAUCUUUACAAGGGCAAACAACAGCAUCGAUGACUUUGAUGUCAUGUAUGUGAACGACUUGCCACAACAAGCCUCUGGCAGCAUGGAUUGUGGUGUGUAUGUUGCCGCAUUUGCUGAAUACUGUUGUUCUGGACGAGGCGUUCCAUCUUAAAUUGAUGCAAAAUCACUCCGUAAUAGAUAUGGGGCAUUACUAUGGGAAUACGGAUGGCAAAAGGCUAAUUUGAAUGCCUUCAGUGACAAUGAACUGCCGCCAAGACCAGUUAGGCCUACCAUAGAUUACAACGCGAUCGACACAGUAGUUGUUAAUUAGUCCACUAGGUUUUAAUGUUGAAUCAUUAUUCACAAUAUUGUUUUGCUGACCAAUUUUGUACAUUUUGUUGUGUUGUUUUGUUAAGAAUUGAUAAAUUGCAGUGUUUUUUCAUCAAUGACUUAACUAAUUUCUUUCACGACUA